UACUCGGACCGGUGGCUCAACCUAAAGGCCCCAAAAAAAAAAGACUCAAAGCAAAAAAAGAAUCGCCUUAUGAUCAUCAGGCAUGAGGAGCGGCGAUGCUGGGACUGGCGCGGCGGCGGCGGCGGCGGCGGCAGCGGCGGAGUUGAAACUGCCGCUCGUCGGCGCAGCGUCGCCAGACUCGUUCCCAUGGUGGUGGGCCCGGCUCGAGGCCUGUACCGCCGCCCCCGCACCCGGCGCGAGUCCAGCCAGCACUUCGGGACGUAGCGGCGGAGGGAGUAUCCGGAGUGGCAGAGGCUGGCGAUGAAGAGCCAGCGGCGGCAGGCUCCGCGGAGGUACGUGGGAUGGAAGCUCCCGUCCUGUCCACUUAUGCGCGACCACAUCGCCGAUACGGAGCUCGCGAUACUGAAGAGGGCGCCGCUGCAGCGUGGAAGCACAUUCGAGCGAGCGGCGGGGGCGGCGGCUGCGGGGCCGGCCUGACGAAGGUCCGGCAAGGGACUACGAAGGUCACCCAGUACCCACACCACCACGUCUAUAUAUGGCCUAGAACUAAGAAAAAUAGAAGAUCUUUACCGCCUAGAACUAAGAACCACGACGACAUAUAUACACACAUACGUCCUGCGGCCACCUGGUGGUCUCCUUCCGCUAGUUCUCCCACUAACCCGACGGGCCGCUGACCUAGUCGCAGGGCCUCUGCUUCCUCUAGGCCUUCUAUGGCCUCCCGGUGACGACCCAGCUUCCCCUGUUACCGUCGCAGUCGGCCCUGAGCUCUUGGAUGCCGGGACACGGCGAACCAGACCACGUCCCCUCCCACUGCGUACACCACACCGGCGGGGCAUUCUAUCCGGCACAGCUGUUUUCCCAUGGCCUUCCUUCCCAGUACGGCGUCGCCUUAGAGAUCGGAGGGGUAGAAGGAAGGGGCCAACGAAACAGGGUGUCAAAACAAACAAGAGUGUCCUCUAAGUAGUACAUUGUUACAUUGUAGUCGCCGUCCUCCUCCGGUAAGCGACGAGGCGGCAGCGGGCUCACAUCCGUGUUGUCAUCUCAAAGAAGAAGACAUUCGAAAUGGCCGACAUCCUUGAGUAGUAACAUUCCCCUUCGUCUCGAAAACCAUCCUCGGACGAUCCGAUCCUCGACAACGGUGAGUUAAACAGACACCUAGAUACACAAAAGCCACCAAUUCUAGGCGAAGACUACUUAGUGACAACGACACUACUACAUGCUUGCAAAACUUAGGUGUUCGGCUA
rnacentral:rRNA from 1 species